rnacentral:other from 1 species
AAAGUCCUGAGAUGUUCGUCAUUAACCGAAACGUUUUGACCGAACAGCUAUAUUUAGGGGAGCUUGAAGUUUCCAAGCAGCGUACAGGCCUCUCGUUAGAGGAAGUAUAAAACUUGGAACAGGGCACCCACCUGCCGAGAGCGGGUUCAAAACUAAGGAUUUAAUAAUGACGGCAUUGCGGGACUUAC